AGCGAACGCUGGCGGCAGGCUUAACACAUGCAAGUCGAGCGGGCACUUUCGGGUGUCAGCGGCGGACGGGUGAGUAACGCGUGGGAACUUGCCCUCUGGUUCGGAAUAACUCAGGGAAACUUGAGCUAAUACCGGAUACGCCCUUUUGGGGAAAGGCUUGCUGCCGGAGGAUCGGCUCGCGUCUGAUUAGCUAGUUGGUGAGGUAACGGCUCACCAAGGCGACGAUCAGUAGCUGGUCUGAGAGGAUGAUCAGCCACACUGGGACUGAGACACGGCCCAGACUCCUACGGGAGGCAGCAGUGGGGAAUAUUGGACCAUGGGCGCAAGCCUGAUCCAGCCAUGCCGCGUGAGUGAUCAAGGCCUUAGGGUUGUAAAGCUCUUUUAUCCGGGACGAUAAUGACGGUACCGGAGGAAUAAGCCCCGGCUAACUUCGUG
rnacentral:rRNA from 1 species